GUCUUCGUGGUGUAGUGGUCAGCACGCUCGAUGUGUAACAGAGAGGUCCGCGGUUCGAUUCCCGGCGAAGGCG
rnacentral:tRNA from 1 species